rnacentral:rRNA from 1 species
CCUACGGGAGGCAGCAGUGAGGAAUAUUGGUCAAUGGUCGGGAGACUGAACCAGCCAAGCCGCGUGAGGGAGGAAGGUACAGAGUAUCGUAAACUUCUUUUGUCAGGGAAUAAAGACUGGGAUGCGUACCCGGAUGUGUGUACCUGAUGAAAAAGCAUCGGCUAACUCCGUGCCAGCAGCCGCGGUAAUACGGAGGAUGCGAGCGUUAUCCGGAUUUAUUGGGUUUAAAGGGUGCGGAGGUGGUUUGUUAAGUCAGUGGUCAAAGUUUGGGGCUCAACCGUAGAAUUGCAGUUGAAACUGGCAGUCUUGAGUAGAAGAGAGGUGGGCGGAAUGCGGGGUGUAGCGGUGAAAUGCAUAGAUAUCGCGCAGAACUCCGAUUGCGAAGGCAGCUCACCGG